rnacentral:tRNA from 1 species
GCCGGGUUAGCUCAGUGGUAGAGCGCCUGCCUGAAGAGCAGGGCGUGCGUGGUUCGAUUCCGCGACCCGGCACCA